UACAGAGGGGGCAAGCGUUAUUCGGAAUUAUUGGGCGUAAAGGGCGCGUAGGCGGCAUGGCAAGUGGAUGGUGAAAUCCCUCGGCUUAACCGAGGAACUGCCGUCCAAACUGCUUCGCUUGAGACCGGGAGAGGUGAGUGGAAUUCCCAGUGUAGCGGUGAAAUGCGUAGAUAUUGGGAGGAACACCAGUGGCGAAGGCGGCUCACUGGACCGGUACUGACGCUGAGGCGCGAAAGCGUGGGGAGCGAACCGG
rnacentral:rRNA from 1 species